CGGCAGCACGGGAGCAAUCCUGGUGGCGAGUGGCGAACGGGUGAGUAAUAUAUCGGAACGUGCCCAGUCGUGGGGGAUAACGCAGCGAAAGCUGUGCUAAUACCGCAUACGAUCUAUGGAUGAAAGCGGGGGACUCGCAAGAGCCUCGCGCGAUUGGAGCGGCCGAUAUCAGAUUAGCUAGUUGGCGGGGUAAAAGCCCACCAAGGCGACGAUCUGUAGCUGGUCUGAGAGGACGACCAGCCACACUGGAACUGAGACACGGUCCAGACUCCUACGGGAGGCAGCAGUGGGGAAUUUUGGACAAUGGGCGAAAGCCUGAUCCAGCAAUGCCGCGUGCAGGAUGAAGGCCUUCGGGUUGUAAACUGCUUUUGUACGGAACGAAACGGUCUGUCCUAAUACGAUGGGCUAAUGACGGUACCGUAAGAAUAAGCACCGGCUAACUACGUGCCAGCAGCCGCGGUAAUACGUAGGGUGCGAGCGUUAAUCGGAAUUACUGGGCGUAAAGCGUGCGCAGGCGGUUAUGUAAGACAGAUGUGAAAUCCCCGGGCUCAACCUGGGACCUGCAUUUGUGACUGCAUAGCUAGAGUACGGUAGAGGGGGAUGGAAUUCCGCGUGUAGCAGUGAAAUGCGUAGAUAUGCGGAGGAACACCGAUGGCGAAGGCAAUCCCCUGGACCUGUACUGACGCUCAUGCACGAAAGCGU
rnacentral:rRNA from 1 species